rnacentral:rRNA from 1 species
AGAACGAACGCUGGCGGCAUGCCUAACACAUGCAAGUCGAACGCUUCCGGGGCUUCGGUCGCGGAGGAGUGGCGCACGGGUGAGUAACACGUGGACAAUUUGCCGUUGAGUCUGGGAUAACCCGUCGAAAAGACGAGCUAAUACCGGAUAAGACCACAGGAAGUUCGCUUCCCGAGGUAAAAGAUGGCCUCUGCUCCUGCAAGCUAUCACUCAUCGAGAAGUUCGCGGCCUAUCAGCUAGUUGGUGAGGUAACGGCCCACCAAGGCUAAGACGGGUA